rnacentral:rRNA from 1 species
GACAUCUGACCUCAAAUCAGGUAGGACUACCCGCUGAACUUAAGCAUAUCAUAGGCGGA